UACGUAGGUGGCAAGCGUUGUCCGGAUUUACUGGGCGUAAAGAGCGCGCAGGCGGUCGAUCAAGUCGCGUGUGAAAGCCCCCGGCUCAACUGGGGAGGGUCACGCGAUACUGAUCGACUCGAAGGCAGGAGAGGGAAGUGGAAUUCCCGGUGUAGUGGUGAAAUGCGUAGAUAUCGGGGAGGAACACCAGUGGCGAAGGCGGG
rnacentral:rRNA from 1 species